rnacentral:rRNA from 1 species
CACGUAGUUAGCCGGUGCUUAUUCUUACGGUACCGUCAUGAUCCCAGGGUAUUAACCCAAGACUUUUCGUUCCGUACAAAAGCAGUUUACAACCCGAAGGCCUUCAUCCUGCACGCGGCAUUGCUGGAUCAGGCUUGCGCCCAUUGUCCAAAAUUCCCCACUGCUGCCUCCCGUAGGAGUCUGGGCCGUGUCUCAGUCCCAGUGUGGCUGAUCGUCCUCUCAGACCAGCUACAGAUCGUAGGCUUGGUAAGCUUUUAUCCCACCAACUACCUAAUCUGCCAUCGGCCGCUCUAGUAGCACAAGGCCCGAAGGUCCCCUGCUUUCAUCCAUAGAUCUCAUGCGGUAUUAGCCACUCUUUCGAGUAGUUAUCCCCCACUACUAGGCACGUUCCGAUGUAUUACUCACCCGUUCGCCACUCGUCAGCAUCCCGAAAGACCUGUUACCGUUCGACUUGCAUGUGUAAGGCAUGCCGCCAGCGUUCAAUCUGAGCCAGGAU